rnacentral:rRNA from 1 species
UACGGGGGGGGGCAAGCGUUGUUCGGGAAUUACUGGGCGUAAAGGGCUCGUAGGCGGCCAACUAAGUCGGAUGUGAAAUCCCCAGGCUUAACCUGGGAACUGCAUCCGAUACUGGAUGGCUUGAAUCCGGGAGAGGGAUGCAGAAUUCCAGGUGUAGCGGUGAAAUGCGUAGAUAUCUGGAGGAAUACCGGUGGCGAAGGCGGCAUCCUGGACCGGCAUUGACGCUGAUGAGCGAAAGCUAGGGGAGCAAACGGG